UGAAUACGAGAUGCUACGGCAUCGAAGCAGUCUAUGUCAUACUUCCAAGAAAAGCUUGCACUGUCAUAAACAAAUAAUGCCUGUACCAUAACCGACACAGGUGGGUAGGUAGAGUAUACUAAGGGGCGCGAGAUAACUCUCUCUAAGGAACUCGGCAAAAUGACUCCGUAACUUCGGGAGAAGGAGUGCCUUAUUUUAUAAGGUUGCAAUAACAAGAUCCAAGCAACUGUUUACCAAAAACACAGGUCUCCGCUAAGUCGUAAGACGAUGUAUGGGGGCUGACGCCUGCCCAGUGCCAGAAGGUUAAAGGAGUUGGUUAGCAUUAGCGAAGCUGAUAACUGAAGCCCUGGUGAACGGCGGCCGUAACUAUAACGGUCCUAAGGUAGCGAAAUUCCUUGUCGGGUAAGUUCCGACCCGCACGAAAGGCGUAAUGAUUUGGAUACUGUCUCGGAGAGGGGCUCGGUGAAAUAGACUUGUCUGUGAAGAUGCGGACUACCUGCACCAGGACAGAAAGACCCUAUGAAGCUUUACUGUAACUUGAGAUUGAAAUUGGACUUUAUUUGCGCAGUAUAGGUGGGAGACGUUGAAAAUAUUCUUGCGGGAAUAUUGGAGUCAUCAGUGAGAUACCACUCUUAUAAUGUUAGAUUUCUAACUUUGUAUCAUUAUCUGGUCAAAGAACAGUCUCAGGCGGGCAGUUUGACUGGGGCGGUCGCCUCCCAAACGGUAACGGAGGCGCACAAAGGUUUCCUCUGAACGUGUAGAAAUCGUAUCUAGAGUGUAAAGGCAUAAGGAAGCUUGACUGUGAGACCUACAAGUCGAGCAGGGACGAAAGUCGGUCUUAGUGAUCUGACGGUGCUGAGUGGAAAGGCCGUCACUCAACGGAUAAAAGUUACUCUAGGAUAACAGGCUGAUCUCCCCCAAGAGUUCACAUCGACGGGGAGGUUUGGCACCUCGAUGUCGGCUCAUCGCAUCCUGGGGCGGUAGUACGUCCCAAGGGUUGGGCUGUUCGCCCAUGAAAGCGGUACGCGAGCUGGGUUCAGAACGUCGUGAGACAGUUCGGUCCAUAUCCGGUGUAGGCGUUAGAAUAUUGAGAGGAGCCUUCUUUAGUACGAGAGGACCGAGAAGGACAUACCUCUGGUGUACCAGUUAUCGUGCCAACGGUAAACGCUGGGUAGCUAUGUAUGGAGAGGAUAACCGCUGAAAGCAUCUAAGUGGGAAGCCCACCUCAAGAUAAGUAUUCUC
rnacentral:rRNA from 1 species